GCCAUGCAUGUCUCAGUACAUGCCGUAUUAAGGUGAAACCGCGAAUGGCUCAUUAAAUCAGUUAUGGUUCCUUAGAUCGUACCCACAUUUACUUGGAUAACUGUGGUAAUUCUAGAGCUAAUACAUGCAAACCAGAGUUCCGACCAGAGAUGGGAGGAACGCUUUUAUUAGAUCAAAACCAAUCGGUGGCGGGUUCGCUCGUCCAUCGUUUACCUUGGUGACUCUGAAUAACUUUGUGCUGAUCGCACGGUCUCGUACCGGCGACGCAUCUUUCAAAUGUCUGCCUUAUCAACUGUCGAUGGUAGGUUCUGCGCCUACCAUGGUUGUUACGGGUAACGGGGAAUCAGGGUUCGAUUCCGGAGAGGGAGCCUGAGAAACGGCUACCACAUCCAAGGAAGGCAGCAGGCGCGCAAAUUACCCACUCCCGGCACGGGGAGGUAGUGACGAAAAAUAACGAUACGGGACUCAUCCGAGGCCCCGUAAUCGGAAUGAGUACACUUUAAAUCCUUUAACGAGGAUCCAUUAGAGGGCAAGUCUGGUGCCAGCAGCCGCGGUAAUUCCAGCUCUAAUAGCGUAUAUUAAAGUUGUUGCGGUUAAAAAGCUCGUAGUUGAAUCUGUGUGUCACGAUGUUGGUUCACCGCUCGCGGUGCUUAACUAGCAUGCCGUGAGACGUCCUACCGGUGGGCUUAGCUCCUCACGGGGCGGUCCAAAUAAUAUCCCAUCGCGGUGCUCUUCAUCGAGUGUCGAGGUGGGCCGGUACGUUUACUUUGAACAAAUUAGAGUGCUUAAAGCAGGCUAUUUUCGCCUGAAUACUGUGUGCAUGGAAUAAUGGAAUAGGACCUCGGUUCUAUUUUGUUGGUUUUCGGAACCCCGAGGUAAUGAUUAAUAGGGACAGAUGGGGGCAUUCGUAUUGCGACG
rnacentral:rRNA from 1 species